CAUAAGAAUAGUGGGACCCACCUUAAUGCUAUUUAUGAUCAUAAACAUUGGAGAUGCCCUUAGAUGAUAAAACAUGAAUAGUAAUUCAUGUGUGACUUCUGUUUUUAUUUUUUAAAAAAAAGUUUCAAAUAAGACGAACGAUUAAAGUUGGGCACGGAAAAUUAUGGCUGCACUUAAA
rfam:Oryza sativa Japonica Group DNA, chromosome 12, cultivar: Nipponbare, complete sequence.